GCCGCAUGGCUCAGUGGGAAAAACUCCGGUGGUAUGAGAUGGACCCGCGUCUGAUUAGGUAGUUGGUGGGGUAACGGCCUACCAAGCCAACGAUCAGUAGCCGACCUGAGAGGGUGACCGGCCACAUUGGGACUGAGACACGGCCCAAACUCCUACGGGAGGCAGCAGUGGGGAAUAUUGCACAAUGGGGGAAACCCUGAUGCAGCGACGCCGCGUGAGCGAAGAAGUAUUUCGGUAUGUAAAGCUCUAUCAGCAGGGAAGAAAAUGACGGUACCUGACUAAGAAGCACCGGCUAAAUACGUGCCAGCAGCCGCGGUAAUACGUAUGGUGCAAGCGUUAUCCGGAUUUACUGGGUGUAAAGGGAGCGUAGACGGCUGUGUAAGUCUGAAGUGAAAGCCCGGGGCUCAACCCCGGGACUGCUUUGGAAACUAUGCAGCUAGAGUGUCGGAGAGGUAAGUGGAAUUCCCAGUGUAGCGGUGAAAUGCGUAGAUAUUGGGAGGAACACCAGUGGCGAAGGCGGCUUACUGGACGAUGACUGACGUUGAGGCUCGAAAGCGUGGGGAGCAAACAAGAUUAGAUACCCUGGUAGUCCACGCCGUA
rnacentral:rRNA from 1 species